GCGUUCGUGGCUUAGUGGUAAAAUCCAUCGUUGCCACCAGCAAGUCGGGCUCAGUUUGUUUCUGCUGGACCGACCUGCGCGUUUCGAUGGGCACCGCGUUCGAUUCGCGGCUGACGCA